GGAUCCGUGCCCGAGCAUUAAGGGGCUACUUUGAUAGAGUACAAAACAGGGGUUUAAAUCCCCUCGGCUCCC
rnacentral:tRNA from 1 species